rnacentral:misc_RNA from 1 species
UGAUGGUGAGUCGACAAGUCGGAGUUGGAUGAGUUGGAGAUGUAGGUGAGAGGCUUGCCAGGCGAAGUACGGGAUACGGCGACGAAGAUCUCGUAGGCGGUGGCUCGGAGGUCGGAAUCGUUGAGCUGGGUGGAGAGUUGGCCGAGUGGAGAGUCGAGAUCGGAGGCGAUUAGUUUAGAAGACAUUGUUGGUGGCGGUUGUAGCAGCGGUGGAGUUUACUCUCUCUUGGAAUGGCCUAAUGAGAGG